AGAGAGAGACAUGCGCGCAUAUCAAUAAGCGGAGGAAAAGAAACUAACAAGGAUUCCCUUAGUAACGGCGAGUGAAGCGGGAAGAGCUCAAAUUUGAAAUCUUCAAGGUUUUACCUUGACGAAUUGUAGUUUAAAGAAGUGUUUUCUGCUGAAGUUUUGGUAAAAGUUCUUUGGAAUAGGACAUCAUAGAGGGUGAGAAUCCCGUAUUUGACCAUUAUUUUCAGCUUUGUGAUACACUUUCAAAGAGUCGGAUUGUUUGGGAAUGCAGUCCAAAAUGGGUGGUAAAUUUCAUCUAAAGCUAAAUAUUGGCGAGAGACCGAUAGCGAACAAGUACCGUGAGGGAAAGAUGAAAAGAACUUUGAAAAGAGGAGUUAAACAGUACGUGAAAUUGUCAAAAGGGAAGCGUUUGACACCAGUGUUGUUUUCUCGAAAAUCAAUUAAAAAUGGCUCGAUUUUGUAUUGUUGAGACCUUAAAAGCUCACUGUACAUUUUUCGUGUCUUUUUUAAUGCACUUUUCGUUUAACAAGUCAACAUCAGUUUCUUUUGUUGUAAAAGGGUCAUUGGAAGGUGGCUUUCUUUUCGGAGAAAGUGUUUAUAGCCUUUGGCCUCUGCAAUCGGAGAGACUGAGGUCUGCAGCGUAGACUCUUCGGGGUUAGAUACAUUUGUGCUAAGUUAUAGCUUUUUAUAGACAACUUGUUGACUAUAAUUAGUCUUGUAGCUUACUCGCUUAUGCUAUUUUACCUACGCUUAGGAUGUUGAAGUCAUCGUAUCGCG
rnacentral:rRNA from 1 species